rnacentral:misc_RNA from 1 species
GAAAUGCGAUAAGUAGUGUGAAUUGCAGAAUUCAGUGAAUCAUCGAAUCUUUGAACGCACAUUGCGCCCCUUGGUAUUCCAUGGGGCAUGCCUGUUCGAGCGUCAUCUACACCCUCAAGCUCUGCUUGGUGUUGGGCGUCUUUGUCCCGCCUCCGCGCGCGGACUCGCCCCAAAUUCAUUGGCAGCGGUCCUUGCCUCCUCUCUCGCAGCACAUUGCGCUUCUCGAGGUGUUGCGGCCCGCGUCCAGAAAGCAAUCGUUACCGUCUUUGACCUCGGAUCAGGUAGGGAUACCCGCUGAACUUAAGC